GACGAACGCUGGCGGCGUGCUUAACACAUGCAAGUCGAACGGAAAGGCCCUGCUUUUGUGGGGUGCUCGUGUGGCGAACGGGUGAGUAACACGUGAGUAACCUGCCCUUGACUUUGGGAUAACUUCAGGAAACUGGGGCUAAUACCGGAUAGGAGCUCCUGCUGCAUGGUGGGGGUUGGAAAGUUUCGGCGGUUGGGGCUGGACUCGCGGCUUAUCAGCUUGUUGGUGGGGUAGUGGCUUACCAAGGCUUUGACGGGUAGCCGGCCUGAGAGGGUGACCGGCCACAUUGGGACUGAGAUACGGCCCAGACUCCUACGGGAGGCAGCAGUGGGGAAUAUUGCACAAUGGGCGGAAGCCUGAUGCAGCAACGCCGCGUGCGGGAUGACGUCCUUCGGGUUGUAAACCGCUUUCGCCUGUGACGAAGCGUGAGUGACGGUAAUGGGUAAAGAAGCACCGGCUAACUACGUG
rnacentral:rRNA from 1 species